CAAGAACCAUGUUGGCAUUGUUUGGAGUGGCAAGCUUAUUGGCAGCUCAUCUGUACAUCAUUGACAGUAGCCAGCUGCAUACCAAGGCUGAGGAUGGACACCCACAUUCUUCUCACUUCUCCUGAACCAAGAUGAACACUAGAUUGGGUCAGGUUAAGCUGCCACCGAUGAUGGAAAUCAUAACGGCUGAACAACUGAUGGAAUAUUUAGGAGAUUAUAUUCUUGAUGCUAAGCCUAAAGAGAUAUCUGAAAUUCAGCGUCUAAAUUAUGAGCAGAAUAUGAGUGAUGCAAUGGCGAUUCUACAUAAGUUACAGACAGGUCUGGAUGUGAAUGUGAAGUUCACAGGUGUGCGAGUAUUUGAAUAUACACCUGAAUGCAUAGUGUUUGAUCUUCUUGAUAUCCCUUUGUACCAUGGAUGGUUAGUGGACCCUCAGGUUGCUGACAUUGUAAAAGCAGUUGGUAACUGCAGUUACAAUCAGUUAGUGGAGAAGAUAAUUUCUUGUAAACAGUCAGACAACAGUGAACUGGUUAGUGAAGGAUUUGUAGCUGAGCAAUUUCUAAAUAACACAGCCACGCAGUUGACAUACCAUGGGCUGUGUGAGUUGACUUCAGCUGUCCAGGAGGGAGAGCUUUGUGUGUUCUUCAGGAACAACCAUUUUAGCACCAUGACCAAAUAUAAGGGUCAGCUUUACCUGUUGGUGACAGACCAGGGUUUUCUUACAGAAGAGAAAGUUGUUUGGGAAAGCUUACACAACGUGGAUGGUGAUGGAAAUUUCUGUGAUUCUGAAUUCCACCUGCGGCCUCCAUCGGACCCUGAAACUGUCUACAGAGGGCAACAGGAUCAAAUAGAUCAAGAUUAUCUGAUGGCAUUGUCUCUGCAACAAGAGCAGCAAAACCAAGAGAUUAACUGGGAGCAGAUUCCAGAAGGAAUCAGUGAUCUGGAGCUAGCAAAGAAGCUCCAGGAAGAGGAGGACAGACGAGCUUCUCAGUACUAUCAGGAACAAGAACAAGCAGCCGCUCAAGUCCAGCAGGUGCAAGGUGCUGCUUCUCCAGCAAGUGGAAGACAAUCUGGGAGUACUGAACGCAAGCGUAAAGAGCCUCGAGAGAAAGAGAGAGAAAAAGAGAAGAAUAGCUGUGUCCUCUUGUAAUAGGAAAUGGAUUUAGUCUGGAGCCAAGUGCAUGUCCUCAAAAGCAAAAACAAGGAGUGAAAAAGGAAGACAAACCCGUUACAUGCCGCCUGUGCCUGAUUAUCCCAUGGAUUUUGUUCACGUUUCAGGAGAGGAUGGGUGACUUUAUUACAAUCAUACCGACUUUCUUCAAAGUCCUACUGCGUGCUGUUUGAGAUGGAAUUCCAAAUCACAGUUGGAUGCGGCUGUGCUUUGAGUUAGUCAUAAGAAAUACUGCACCUUGUAGCUGAACACACAAAUCAUGGUCUUGAAGCUUUGGAAAAAAGAUCUGUAACCUGAAGUAGCUCAUUGCUCAAAUCAACUCUCUGACCAUUGGAAUGCUUAUCACAGUUGCUCACUGAAGUUUAUACAAAGUCUGAACUUCAAAACACGUACUGCGUGAAUUAAGAGCUGUAUGUAUUUUAUAUAAAAGUGAACUUUUUUUUUUAAGGUUGUAACCUUAAAUAGCAGGUAACUCAAGAUACGCAAGUUAAUUGAUGCAGUGUCUUCAACAGAAAGCAUAUUAGGGAAAAGCAGAAAUAACAAACCUUAGUUUGGCUGUAAUAUAAUGUUGAAAUAUUUCCCUAUACAUGCUAUGAGAGCAUGGCCUUGGUAACAAGAAAAAUCUGAUACUGAAAAAUGUUUAUGUAGCCUAGAGUGAUGCCAACAAGGACAAGCAGCGAUGUAAGAAUUAAAAUAUGCAUGUUUCAUCUUGUGAUUCAAUAUAAUCACUUAAUUCUUUUGGGCUUUUUAAUAAGCACAUGCAGCAACAGAGUGGUAGCACUGUUAUUUUGAGUGGGAAGAUUUGGUGAGGCGAAUGACAGUUUCUCAUCCGAAUUUAAUUAUGUGGUAGUCUAUUUGAUCUUAAUUUCCAUACUAUUUCCAUAUAGCCACUUUUUGUUAACAGCUUGUUCUUACAGUUGUCCAGUAGAAAAGCAGUGUUUUUAAGCUCAACUGUCCUGCGCCCUGAAAGGGAAGAUGGGGAGGCAGGGGAAAUGCAGGGGAGGAAAGCAAGGUAGGAAUAUAAAGGUCUCUACGCUACCUACUUUUCUUGAGAUUGUUUAGGGAUUUGCCCAUAAUUUUGCUAUUAUUUUAGCCACUGGUGUGGCUAGGGACAACUUUCUCAGCUGUAUCUAGCUGCAGCAUAGCAGGUACUGGCCAAAUACCCUCACCCAAGUAAUGACUAGCAUGCUCCCUUCAUAGGGGGUUGGCAUUGUUUGUCCCUGUACACACUCUUCACUCUCACAAUGCUUCCAGGUCAAGACUGUAGCUGUUUUAACUCUCUAACAACUCAAAAGCCUUUUGUUAAAUGUCAGUCUUGUACAGUUUAACUUUGCUCUUUAGGUGAGCGCGCUCUCUCUCAUUAUGAGCUCUCUCUACCUAAAAGUUACUUCUGAAGAACUACCUAAACUUGGAAGUUCUUUACUGCCUUGAACGUUAUUUUCCUGCCUUGUAGGAUUACUUAGCUUGUGGAGAAGUUUCAUGUGUUGAAAUGAGAAAUUCCUUGGUCUUUGAGUUAAAGAAUCUAGUUAAGUAUCUGUAGAAGUCAAGAUCCCUUGUUCACUUGUACUUGACAGCGUAAUUUUCAACAAAAUGUUGUUAGGCCUGAGAAAUCCAUAGGGAAGAAUUCAAAUAAAAGUUUGUGUACUCAACUGAAAAGUACUAGCUUAGUAUAAACAGUAUUCUUGCAAACUAACUUAUUGUAACAACAUGGUGAAAAUUGAGGCAUGUUUCUCUAGAUGUAAUCUGCUGGUGAAACACGAAAUAAGACACUACAGAUGCUUUUGUAAUUAGUUGGGUUAUAAAUUUAAGGAAGCAGGUGGUGGUGAUGUGGCUAACAGUCCUGCUGGGGCCAAAAGUGAGUGAAAUGUGAUUAUCUGAUAUAGUCAAACACAAAGUCAAAUGU